ACACCCCACUACCCCACGUCUACCUCGCUCUCCUAGAACCUUCUAUUAUUACCAUUACAAAUUUACAAAUCCAGAUCCAAUUUCUCUUCUUCACAUACUUUUUUUCAUUGCAAAUUCCCAAAAUAAACUUCAGUUUUUUUUUCUUUGUUUUCUCCGAUGAGGGCAUUUUUCAACAGAAAGCUUUUUAGAUCUGUGGUCUGGUAGUUUUCCGAUGAUAUCUGAGCUGAUCUGGUUGUCCGGCAGCAAUUUUCCGUGAAAGACUCGCCGGAUUUUUGUUCCCGCCGGCGAGGUAGUUUAGUUUUGAGUUGCAGGCGGCGUUUGUAUGUUUUGGUGAAGAGAAUUAGGGUAAGCCGGCUAAGAUAGUAACUGGGCCUUGAGUUGUUUUUGGGCUAAGAAGCCCAAUUGACAGCUGGAAGUUUGUAAGGUAAAGUCGUGAGCGUGAGAUUUAUAACAAUAAUUUCACGUCUGAAGAGGAGGCGGGCGCCCUCUAAGUUGACCACCCUACCCACUAAUGCACUAUGAGGGGGAAGGCGAACGGGAACCGACCGAAAGCGUGAGAUUUAUAACAAUAAUUUCACGUGCAAUAGUGUAAUUUUUUCUUUUCCUGCAAAUUCAUAUGUUAAAGUUUUUAGUUUACUUUUUUGUGAACAAAACAAUGUGUUUUUCUUAUUACAUUUUCUCAAAUAGAGUUGUUAUUUUUAUUAUAUAUAAAAUGAUUGGACAUUCUUUAUAUAAAA